rnacentral:rRNA from 1 species
GAUGAACGCUGGCGGCGUGCCUAAUACAUGCAAGUCGAGCGAACAGACGAGGAGCUUGCUCCUCUGACGUUAGCGGCGGACGGGUGAGUAACACGUGGAUAACCUACCUAUAAGACUGGGAUAACUUCGGGAAACCGGAGCUAAUACCGGAUAAUAUAUUGAACCGCAUGGUUCAAUAGUGAAAGACGGUUUUGCUGGCACUUAUAGAUGGAUCCGCGCCGCAUUAGCUAGUUGGUAAGGUAACGGCCUACCAAGGCAACGAUGCGUAGCCGACCUGAGAGGGUGAUCGGCCACACUGGAACUGAGACACGGUCCAGACUCCUACGGGAGGCAGCAGUAGGGAAUCUUCCGCAAUGGGCGAAAGCCUGACGGAGCAACGCCGCGUGAGUGAUGAAGGUCUUCGGAUCGUAAAACUCUGUUAUUAGGGAAGAACAAAUGUGUAAGUAACUAUGCACGUCUUGACGGUACCUAAUCAGAAAGCCACGGCUAACUACGUG